GGUGCCAGAGCUCCUCUUACCGCCCCGGAGUCACCGGAGCCGCUUUCCCCCGGCUCCUGGCGGUGUUCGGCCUUCAGGGGGUCCUGCCAGCGCCUGAGGGGGCAGGGGAUGGUUUUCAUAGGGAAUGGGCUCUCCAGUGCCGUCUUCAGCGGCCUGCCUUGGCCUUUGGAGCAGGUUUUUCCUGCAUCUGGAAUUAGGACUCUGGGUGGUUAAUGGAAGGAAUCAGCAUGUGGGAAUCUUCUCAGCUGCUGGUUCCUGCUGUUCCCAGGAAAGGUGAUGCAUCUGCAAGGUGAAUCACGGAGUCCUGGUGGGAUCUCUCGACGCUGUUGGGAGGAGUUUUUUGUGGCAUCGGACACACGGUGGCGAUGGAAAUCACCUUUUCCUCCAGAGCUUCGGGCUUUGGAGUGCUCAGCAACCACACGUGUGUGCCCCGAGCAUGGAAGGAUGAAAUAUUUCUGUUCAAUCCCAAAUAACUGCUGACAUUUCAAGUGGCCGAGGCUCCAGAGAAUCCACAAAACUUUCUCGGCUUGAGUGGUGCCAGGCUGGCAGUGUCACUGACCCCCUCACCCGGGUUGAUCUGUCCUGUGUUUGCCCUGGGGGUGUCAUCAGAGCCUGGUCAGGAGAGGUGGAACCAGCCCUUGGCGUCACAAAAGGUAAAAACAUUUCCUCUGUAUUAUUUGGAGUUUAUUUACUAAGGCUAAACUUCCUUUAUUUAUUUAUUUAUUUUUUUUGAGAAAACAGAGUGGCAUGAGUUUGCAGUGCACAUGCUUGGAAGUUGUGGAAUGAGAGUAAAUAACUGUCCAGUUUUGGAGCAGGACAGGAAAAGGGUGUGCAUUUACCACCCCUCCUCCAAGGCAGAACGUGGUUCAAAAAUUUCAAAAUUUUGCAAACUAUUGGAAAAUAUGUCUGAACCCUGUGAAACAAUUAAAACUCAGAUUAUUCCAGCCCAGGCUUGAAUCCCAGAAUGAUUUAGGUUGGAAAAGACCUCCCAGAUUGAGUCCAACCUGGCACAAGGAUCAGCCCUCACUUUACUCCAGCUGAUUGUUCCAAGUGAUUCCUCAGCCUCUCCUCACAUGCCUUCCCCUCCAGACCCUUCACCAUCUUCACAGCCUAAAAAAAGCUCCUCCAAAUCCCCGCUGGGUUUUUAAGGUUGAUGUGUCUAACUAGCUCUUUUCCACGUGUUCAUGCCUCUCUCUGCCCUUGAGAGGAAGAGUUGCUGCAGGACUUCAGUGUAUGAAGCAAUCCCUCCCCCAGCAGUGUUUGGACAGUGUUUGUACCUGGAUGGAUGCUGGGCUGGGCAGACAGGCAGAGUGCAGGUGCAGGUUUUAGCAGGCCUGGAGCUCUGGGAACAGCAGCCAGGAUGAACUCAGCACCUGUCGUAAUCUCCUGGUUUUGUAAGUUCUGUAUAUAGUUAUUAUCAGUGAUUUGGGACCAACCCCUCAAGCACUCCCCCUCAUUUCUGCAGGAGUUGGGAUUUAGCACUGGAGAUGAUUAACUAACAACAAAAACCUUCUCUUUAGCUCCUUCAUGAAAUACUUGAUCAGAGGAAGAUUCUUUAUGUAAAAGACACAUCUAUAUCUAUGCAAUUAUGGCUACAGAGGUAUAAU